CCUACGGGAGGCAGCAGUGAGGAAUCUUGCGCAAUGGGCGAAAGCCUGACGCAGCGACGCCGCGUGGAGGAUGAAGGCCUUAGGGUCGUAAACUUCUGUAGGAGAAGCGCCGGUACCAUUAGAGAAAGCACCGGCUAACUUCGUGCCAGCAGCCGCGGUAAUACGAAGGGUGCAAGCGUUAUUCGGAUUGAUUGGGCGUAAAGGGUGCGCAGACGGUGCGUUAAGUCAACUGUUAAAUUUCCCGGCUUAACCGGGAGCAAGCGGUAGAAACUGGCGUGCUAGAGAGUGGAAGAGGGAAGUGGAAUUCUCGGAGUAGCGGUAAAAUGCGUAGAUCUCGAGAGGAACACCGAUGGCGAAGGCAGCUUCCUGGUCCAUUCUGACGUUCAUGCACGAAAGCGUGGGGAGCAAACAGGAUUAGAUACCCUUGUAGUC
rnacentral:rRNA from 1 species